rnacentral:rRNA from 1 species
AUUGAACGCUGGCGGCAGGCCUAACACAUGCAAGUCGAGCGGCAGCGGGAAGUAGCUUGCUACUUUGCCGGCGAGCGGCGGACGGGUGAGUGAUGUCUGGGAAACUGCCUGAUGGAGGGGGAUAACUACUGGAAACGGUAGCUAAUACCGCAUAAUGUCGCAAGACCAAAGAGGGGGACCUUCGGGCCUCUUGCCAUCAGAUGUGCCCAGAUGGGAUUAGCUAGUAGGUGGGGUAACGGCUCACCUAGGCGACGAUCCCUAGCUGGUCUGAGAGGAUGACCAGCCACACUGGAACUGAGACACGGUCCAGACUCCUACGGGAGGCAGCAGUGGGGAAUAUUGCACAAUGGGCGCAAGCCUGAUGCAGCCAUGCCGCGUGUAUGAAGAAGGCCUUCGGGUUGUAAAGUACUUUCAGCGGGGAGGAAGGUGUUGAGGUUAAUAACCUCAGCAAUUGACGUUACCCGCAGAAGAAGCACCGGCUAACUCCGUGCCAGCAGCCGCCGUAACAC